rnacentral:tRNA from 1 species
GGCGGUGUGGCGGAAAUGGAUACGCGUUAGGUCCCUAUGGAUACACGUUAGGGUAAAAGUCCUAAGUCAAUGGGGGUUCGAAUCCCUCCUAAGUUA